UUAGGAAUUGGAUAGGAAUCUAAGACGCCACAACUGAUAGGUUGCACACCCACACGUCGACGAGGAACCCCUGUUUGAUUCGCUAGUCGACGAUCAGCCGCCACAACACACGUCAUCCACGCUAGAUCUGAAACGCAACACCGACUUGGUUCAGUUGUUUCUGAGCUGCAUCGUCCCUUGGUUGCUCAAGUUACAACUCACAUCACUAUUGCAUGGGUUUUGAAUAAAUCUCAUGUACAGAGUUUCCUCUCACUCAAUCUUGUUAUUGAUAGUUGGAUUUUGGAGUUUCAGAUUUGGAGUCUGUGAAGAUUUUAGUUGUUGUCCAGCCUUUAGGAAGCUUGGAAUUGGAUCUUUUCGCACAACUUGGCUACACGAAUGUGUUUCCGAAGCACUACCUACGAUUGUCAGAGGAUUUUGGGGCUGAAAGAGACCGUGACCAGAGAUCCGAGAACUUGAGUUUAAGUGAGGAUAUGGAUGGAGGAUUGAGAUAUGGCUUCAGGCCUAGUUUAACACAUUGUGGGUGGCUCUAUGUGCACAUAGGAGCGGAUGGAGGUUGUUACUGUGGUAGGUGCUAAGUAUGCGUGAGCCCCAUUUGACCGUGUGUUUCUUUGAGGAUAUGGAUCACAUGUGAGCUAUUUUGGACUGUGUAUUUAGUAUGCUAUCAUGGUUGGAUUGGAUGGAUGUUGUUACUAUGGUAGGUGCUAAGUAUUAUGUGAGUUAUAUUUGGCCGCAUGUUUCCUUGUGUAUAUGGAUCAUGUGUGAGCUAUUUUGGAUCGUGUAUUUAGUAUGCUAUCAUGGUCGGAUUGGAUAGAGGUUACUAUCGUGGUCAGUACUAAAUAUGUGUGAGCUAGUUGUGACCGCAUGAUUCUUUGAUCAUGUGCGAGCUAUUCUUGGUCGUAUAUUUAGAUUCCUUGUCAUGGUGGAUUGAGUACAGGUUUAUCGGCUUGAUCCGUGUUGUAUAGUAUUAUGUAAUGAUGACAUUUGAUUUAUAAUUAUUUCAUUAUCAAUGCAUACUUACACGUUAUUUUGAGCAUAUUUUACAAUUUUUCAUAUCUAAUUAUUUGUCAUUCACUGAGCUUUCAGCUUAUGUUUUCAAUGUUUUUCUUCUU